UGGGGAAUCUUGGACAAUGGGGGCAACCCUGAUCCAGCCAUGCCGCGUGAGUGAUGAAGGCCUUAGGGUCGUAAAGCUCUUUCGCCUGUGAAGAUAAUGACGGUAGCAGGUAAAGAAACCCCGGCUAACUCCGUGCCAGCAGCCGCGGUAAUACGGAGGGGGUUAGCGUUGUUCGGAAUUACUGGGCGUAAAGCGCACGUAGGCGGAUCGGAAAGUUGGGGGUGAAAUCCCGGGGGCUCAACCCCCGGGAACGGCCUCCAAAACUAUCGGUCUAGAGUUCGAGAGAGGUGAGUGGAAUUCCGAGUGUAGAGGUGAAAUUCGUAGAUAUUCGGAGGAACACCAGUGGCGAAGGCGGCUCACUGGCUCGAUACUGACGCUGAGGUGCGAAAGUGUGGGGAGCAAACAGGAUUAGAUACCCUGGUAGUCCACACCGUAAACGAUGAAUGCCAGUCGUCGGAUAGUAUACUAUUCGGUGACACACCUAACGGAUUAAGCAUUCCGCCUGGGGAGUACGGUCGCAAGAUUAAAACUC
rnacentral:rRNA from 1 species